AGUUUGAUCCUGGCUCAGAACGAACGCUGGCGGCGUGGAUAAGACAUGCAAGUCGUACGGGAUCAAGCCGGUAGGCAACUAUCGGGUUGAUUCAGUGGCGAACGGGUGAGUAACACGUGGGAAUCUGCCCGGAAGAGGGGGAUAGCCCGCCGAAAGGCGGAUUAAUACCGCAUAUAUUGAAAGCGGGGGACCGCAAGGCCUCGCGCUUCCGGAUGAGCCCGCGUCCUAUCAGCUAGUUGGUAGGGUAAUGGCCUACCAAGGCGAUGACGGGUAGCUGGUCUGAGAGGACGACCAGCCACACUGGGACUGAGACACGGCCCAGACACCUACGGGUGGCAGCAGUCGAGAAUUUUUCACAAUGGGGGAAACCCUGAUGGAGCGACGCCGCGUGGAGGAUGAAGGGCUUCGGCUUGUAAACUCCUGUCACCACAGACAAAUGCCGGGCGGUGAAUAAUCGUUCGGCUUGAUGGUAUGUGGAGAGGAAGGGACGGCUAACUCUGUGCCAGCAGCCGCGGUAAUACAGAGGUCCCAAGCGUUGUUCGGAUUUACUGGGCGUAAAGGGUGCGUAGGAGGUCUGGAAAGUCGGGUGUGAAAUCCCACCGCCUAACGGUGGAAUUGCGCUCGAAACUCCCAGACUCGAGGACCGGAGAGGAGAACGGAAUUCCUGGUGUAGCGGUGAAAUGCAUAGAUAUCAGGAGGAACACCAACGGCGAAGGCAGUUCUCUGGAAGGUUCCUGACUCUGAGGCACGAAGGCCAGGGGAGCAAACGGGAUUAGAUACCCCGGUAGUCCUGGCAGUAA
rnacentral:rRNA from 1 species